AAACCGCUCCGGAGCGACAACAGCGAGGGGCGGGGCGUAAGGUUCCGCGCGUCCUCUCCCCGGAAUAAUGACGAUCUUGAGUGUCCAAAUGAGAGUGUGUCCUUCCAGCGAACGCGUUUCCCGUUCUCUGCCCGUAGCAAUCCCCGCUCUGCUUACUUUCGGAAAAUCAGCGAGCAACACGCAACCAUUUGCACGAUUUAGUCCUCUCUACGUGUUACGUGAUGGACACGAAAGGUGGCCCCGGGCAGAAACCAAGCCUCUGAAAUUCCUUAAUGACAGGUUUGGCGGGCUCGGGGAAAGGAACACCAAGGUGGCCACAGAUCGCCAUCCCAGCACUUUCUGGUCGAAUAAUACCAAUAUGGCCUCCGGACCACCGUUUUGGAACUUUCCGCCUGUUGCCGGAUCCCCGGAAACACGUCAUUUGCCCUAGCCUCAUCUCUUCACCUUAUAAAGGGGUUCUCCGCCCCCAGAACACACCUCAGAAACUACUGCCCUAUAUAAGGCCCCGCCCUUUGUUUUCCCACGUGACUUCUCUGGCCCAAUCUGUUCGACCGGGAACCUCGCCCGAGAGCUGUGUGAUAAAGGGUGCUCAGAUCUCUUUGCCUGGUCUCUCUGUUUUGGGACUUUCUCACUCCGCCGAUUUGACCUUACACUUAAAGUUGCCCAGACGUGGCCACGUCUGAAUGCUGGGGCCCAGCUCGCCUUACAGAAGACAACGGCGUUACAGCACGUGCUCUAUGACGGUCCAAUGUUCUCAGAAGAUGGUGGUCCCAGCUGCCCUGGUCUCCUCCCGUCUGACACGCAGGCACUGAAUCUGCCUGCCGUCCUGCCCGCCCCUGGCUGUCCCGGCCAGACUCUCAAGGCCUCUGGGGCCCGCCGGGCCCCAUCCCACACAUGCCAGUCAAGGCGGGGUAAAGGGGAUACAACCAGCCCCUGCGUCACAUCCUAACCCCAAAGCUCUGGGAUGCUAACCAACCCCCAGGAAGAGGCAGGCAGCUGAGAGCAGGGUGUGGGAGUCCCAGAGAAUUCAUCAUAAAGCUUCCACCCGCCUCUGUGAGGGGCUUCAGGCAUCUUCUCUCAAGUCCAGCCCCAAGAAACUUGUCCUAUCUGUAAACUUGUGAAAAAUCUUUCCUCCAGACUCCAGACAGCGAGGGCUUCGCUGCCAGGAUCUGGGACUUGGGUGCUGUCUGCUGAGAGACCACAGGAAAGGAUGAAAGAUACCAGGACCCACGCAGGUGAUGGAAAAAGAAGGGUCGCCCAGAUGGGUGGAUAAACAGAACCACAACACAACAUUUUUCAGCCUUAAGAAGAAAUCCUGACACCUGCUAUGAUGUGGAUGAGCAUGCAGGACGCGGCGUUCCGGGAGACGAGCCCGUCGCAAAGGACAAACUCUGCACGACUCCGAGCUCACGAGGAAGGAGCCUGCGGCGCAGGCACGGUCUCCCGGGUCGUGGGGUCGAGCCCCGCGUCGGGCUCUGUGCUGAUGGCAGCUCACAGCCUGGAGCCUGCUCCGGAUUCUGUG